rnacentral:rRNA from 1 species
CAGCCUGCAGUGGGUACGGGCAGACUAGAGUGCGGUAGGGGAGAUUGGAAUUCCUGGUGUAGCGGUGGAAUGCGCAGAUAUCAGGAGGAACACCGAUGGCGAAGGCAGAUCUCUGGGCCGUAACUGACGCUGAGGAGCGAAAGGGUGGGGAGCAAACAGGCUUAGAUACCCUGGUAGUCCACCCCGUAAACGUUGGGAACUAGUUGUGGGGUCCAUUCCACGGAUUCCGUGACGCAGCUAACGCAUUAAGUUCCCCGCCUGGGGAGUACGGCCGCAAGGCUAAAACUCAAAGGAAUUGACGGGGACCCGCACAAGCGGCGGAGCAUGCGGAUUAAUUCGAUGCAACGCGAAGAACCUUACCAAGGCUUGACAUAUACGAGAACGGGCCAGAAAUGGUCAACUCUUUGGACACUCGUAAACAGGUGGUGCAUGGUUGUCGUCAGCUCGUGUCGUGAGAUGUUGGGUUAAGUCCCGCAACGAGCGCAACCCUCGUUCUAUGUUGCCAGCACGUAAUGGUGGGAACUCAUGGGAUACUGCCGGGGUCAACUCGGAGGAAGGUGGGGAUGACGUCAAAUCAUCAUGCCCCUUAUGUCUUGGGCUUCACGCAUGCUACAAUGGCCGGUACAAAGGGCUGCAAUACCGCGAGGUGGAGCGAAUCCCAAAAAGCCGGUCCCAGUUCGGAUUGAGGUCUGCAACUCGACCUCAUGAAGUCGGAGUCGCUAGUAAUCGCAGAUCAGCAACGCUGCGGUGAAUACGUUCCCGGGUCUUGUACACACCGCCCGUCAAGUCAUGAAAGUCGGUAACACCUGAAGCCGGUGG